AUUGAACGCUGGCGGCAGGCUUAACACAUGCAAGUCGAGCGAGCGGCGGACGGGUGAGUAAUGUCUGGGAAACUGCCUGAUGGAGGGGGAUAACUACUGGAAACGGUAGCUAAUACCGCAUACCAUCAGAGGUGCCCAGAUGGGAUUAGCUAGUAGGUGGGGUAAUGGCUCACCUGGGCGACGAUCCCUAGCUGGUCUGAGAGGAUGACCACCCACACUGGAACUGAGACCCGGUCAAGACUCCUACGGGAGGAAGCGGUGGGGAAUAUUGGACAAUGGGGGAAAGCCGACUGCAGACAUGCCGCGUGUGUGAGGAAGGCCUUCGGGUUGUAAAGCACUUUCAGCGAGGAGGCGUUACUCGAAGAAGAAGCACCGGCUAACUCCGUGCCAGCAGCCGCGGUAAUAC
rnacentral:rRNA from 1 species